AAAAGUCGUAACAAGGCAUCCGAAGAUGAACCUGCGGAAGGAUCAUUAUCGUACAACCGAGGUGCAAGGGUGUCGCUGACCUUUCAAGGUCGUGACGCCCGAGCGCUCUCGCCACAAUCCAUCUCACCCCUUUGUGCAUCACCGCGUGGGUCCCCCUUUGCGGGGAGGGCUCGCGUUUUCACACAAAACUUGAUACAGUCCAGAAUGUCUAUUUUUGCGGUAACACGCAAUCAAUACAACUUUCAACAACGGAUCUCUUGGCUCUCGCAUCGAUGAAGAACGCAGCGAAAUGCGAUACGUAAUGUGAAUUGCAGAAUUCAGUGAAUCAUCGAAUCUUUGAACGCACCUUGCGCCCCUUGGCAUUCCGAGGGGCACACCCGUUUGAGUGUCGUGAAAUUCUCAAAAUCCUUUUCUUUGAUCGGAAUAGGACUUUUGGACUUGGAGGUUCAAUGCUCGCUUUCGCCUUUGAAAGCGAGCUCCUCUCAAAUGAAUCAGUGGGGUCCGCUUUGCUGGUCCUUGACGUGAUAAGAUGCUUCUACGUUUUGGAUUUGGCAUUGUUUUCUCCGCUCCUAACUGUCCCCAUGGGACAACGAUGGUGCUUCGGUCGUCGCCAUUUAUGGCGGGAGGCUGAACCCACAAAGAACCUUGACCUUAAAUCGGGUGAGACUACCCGUUGAACUUAAGCAUAUCAAUAAGCGGAGGA
rnacentral:rRNA from 1 species